GAUGAAGAACGUAGCGAAAUGCGAUAAGUAAUGCGAAUUGCAGAAUUCAGUGAAUCAUCGAAUCUUUGAACGCACAUUGCGCCCGCCAGUAUUCUGGCGGGCAUGCCUGUCCGAGCGUCAUUUCAACCCUCAAGCCCCCGGGCUUGGUGUUGGGGAUCGGCGAGCCUCCGCGCCCGCCGUCCCCUAAAUCUAGUGGCGGUCUCGCUGUAGCUUCCUCUGCGUAGUAGCACACCUCGCACUGGGAAACAGCGCGGCCACGCCGUUAAACCCCCAACUUCUGAACGUUUGACCUCGGAUCAGGUAGGAAUACCCGCUGAACUUAAGCAUAUCAAUAAGCGGAGGA
rnacentral:misc_RNA from 1 species